rnacentral:tRNA from 1 species
GCCCGGCUAGCUCAAUCGGUAGAGCGUGAGACUCUUAGUCCUCACGUCCUAAUAAGACACGAUUACUCAGUUCAUCUCAAGGUUGUGGGGUAUGUAUCUGCUCCACUUUAAUCGAGAAUAACAUACUAACAAUCUCAAUAGUUCGACCCCCACGUCGGGCU